rnacentral:rRNA from 1 species
GACGAACGCUGGCGGUGUGCUUAACACAUGCAAGUCGAACGGUGAAGCGCCUUCCUUUUUGGUGGGUGUGGAUGAGUGGCGAACGGGUGAGUAACACGUGAGUAACCUGCCCCCUUCUUCUGGAUAACCGCAUGAAAGUGUGGCUAAUACGGGAUAUUCUGGGUCUGUCGCAUGAUGGGUCUGGGAAAGAUAUUGUUUCGGUGGGGGAUGGGCUCGCGGCCUAUCAGCUUGUUGGUGGGGUGAUGGCCUACCAAGGCGGUGACGGGUAGCCGGCCUGAGAGGGUGGACGGUCACACUGGGACUGAGACACGGCCCAGACUCCUAAGGGAGGCAGCAGUGGGGAAUAGUGCACAAUGGGCGCAAGCCUGAUGCAGCGACGCCGCGUGAGGGAUGGAGGCCUUCGGGUUGUGAACCUCUUUCGCCAGUGAAGCAGGCCUGCCUCGUUUGUGGGUGGGUUGACGGUAGCUGGAGAAGAAGCGCCGGCUAACUACGUG